UGUAUUGUGUGUCCAGUCGUUUGAAGACGCCCGUUUAGUGAUUCUACAUCCGCAUUAUUACAUUAUUGAUGCGCAUCCUUCUGUCCCUGAAGUGUCCUCCCUCCUCCCUGCACCGUCCGAGGAUCAGAUGCUUCAAACGGGGAACACAAAGCUUUCUGCGUCCUCUCCAGCCAAGGAGGCACUUCACUGAGCUGCUACAGUGUCUGCUUUAAAGUGCAAACCUGCAUCUUUCAUCCAUAGAGAGAGUCUCUGCGUAAGAUCACCCAUACGCUGGCCAUGAAGAAUGAGGAGAUUUCCAACUUCGUCUGUACCCUCAAGCAGAGCCUGGACAACUUGGAGGCCAACUCCAAUCGAGUGCAGGAGGACCUGGAGUCCGAGUUCACCUCCCUCCACUCUGUUCUGGACGAGAUGAAGGAAAACAUGGUGACGCGCAUCAAACAGGAGAGAGCCAGUCGCACAUACGAGCUGCAGAGUCAGCUGAGCGCCUGCUCUAAAGCCCUGGAGAGCUCAGAGGAGCUGCUGGAACUGGCCAAUCAGACGCUGUGCUCCUCGGAGACGGACGGGUUCACUCAGGCGGCCAAAGACAUUAAGGAUAGCGUGACAAUGGCUCCAGCCUUUCGCCUCUCCCUGAAGGCUAAAGCCAGUGACAACAUGAGUCACUUGAUGGUGGAUUUCAGCCAGGAGAGGGAGAUGCUGCAGGCUCUCAAGUUUCUUCCAGUUCCCGCCACUCCAGAGAUCCAGGUGUCGGAGUCCCAGGUGUGCGACAACACAGUGACUGUAGCUUGGACUUUGCCGGAGCCUGACAGCAAAAUAGAUCAUUACAUACUGGAACAUCGACGCACAAAUCACGAGGGUCCUCCACGGAUCAGAGAGGAUUAUCCCUGGAUGGUGGUGGAGGGGAUAAAGGAGAUGGAGCACACACUGACAGGUCUGCGUUUUGACACUCGGUACAUGACGUUCAGAGUGAGAGCGUGCAACAAGGCGGUGGCUGGAGAGUUCUCAGAGCCGGUUACACUAGAAACUCACGCCUUCACCUUCAAACUGGACUCGGGUUCAGCCCACCAGAACCUGAAGGUGGAGGACUUGAGUGUGGAGUGGGACAGCAGUGGAGGGAAGAUCCAGGACAUCCGCAAAGAGAAGAAUCGAACCAACUCGCCGAUGCACUCCCCAGCCAGGUCAGCCCUGAUGUCUCCUAAGAGAGCGCCGACAGCCCGACCCGGCAGAGAUCGGUUUACAGCCGAGUCGUACACGGUGCUGGCUGACACUAUGAUCGACGCUGGCCAGCAGUACUGGGAGGUGAAGUUUGACAAAGAGAGCAAAGCCUUCGCUGUGGGCGUCGCUCUGCGGAGCCUCGGCCGAUUCGACCAGCUGGGGAAAAGCGGCGCUUCCUGGUGCAUCCAUCUGAACAACUGGCUGCAGCAGAGCCUCACGGCCAAACACAACAACAAGGCUCGAACACUCGACUGUCCGAUCCCAAACAGCAUAGGAGUCUAUGUGAACUACGAUGAAGGCACACUCUCUUUUACAACGCCAAAACAAAGCAGCUGAUGCACACCUUCAAGACAAAGUUCCAGCAGCCAGUUAUUCCAGCUUUCAUGGUGUGGAACGGAAGUUUCUCUGUGGUGACGGGCCUGCAGGUUCCCAGCGUGGUGCAAAGCGGCCAGAGGAAGAACAGCAACACUAGCAGCUCCAACGCCAGCCUCACCUAAACCCACCCGCUCAUCCAUCCAUCCAUCCAGCCGGCUGGACGCCUCCCAGCUCCGCCCGGCUUCAAUCACGGCUGCAGAUCAGCUCCUUUGGCCGGACUGCGGUCGAAGGAAGAGUUACAUCACUGGAGUACGAUGGUUUGGCCUGUUCCACAUGCAGUGUCGGUGUUGCAUGAAAUGAUUUUGGGGAACAACCGAGUCAUCUGCUCCCUCAGUGACUGAAUUCUUCUGACUCUGGCUGUUGUGAUUGCUUGGGACACGUUAGGUGUAGUCUUACCAGUUCUCCUCUCUCUGCACAUUCAUUUCCCACUGUCCCACUGCUGCUAGAGCAAUGAUUAGCGCUGGCCGCUGCUCUUCCUUCCUUUCCAUCAUCAGGACUGUCGGUCGUACUUUCAUGCAGCCAGCUGCAGGUUCAGGGUUUCGUCUCUGUCCUGUCUGCUCUCUCCCUGUGCCUUCCUUCUCAUUUCCAAACUGACAGGCCAGAAUCGGGCGAUCUGUAACACAUUGCCAAUAUUUCACUGCAAGAAGCGACUUAAAACCAUGUGUUGUGUCAGUAUA